rfam:Otolemur garnettii contig184908, whole genome shotgun sequence.
CUGUGCCUCCUGAUUGCUGAGUGUUCACCUGGACCUUCUGACUACCUUGUACUAUUCCAUCAGGAUACAGAUCUGAUAUCUGGAUUUUUGCCCAUGGUGAUUCCAACCACCUUACUACUGAUGAAGACACCAUUCCAGUGAACCACUGUGACCCAAGAGACAUUUAGCCAUUAUGAUGUGGCCUUUACCUCCACUGCUGUCCUGUUCUACCCAGCACAGCCCUUUA